GCAAACAGUGUGCUAGGUACUACAUUCCAACGAGCUCAACGAUCUCAGGUGAUAAUACACACGGGAAAAAGAGGAGCAUAAUGGGUUAUAACCUGCCAUAAAAUCCGACAGGAUUGCAAGCAAGGUAGGCAGUCUAAAUGCAGAUCCAAGGAGACACAAGGUCUCAGUUAGACGUACCUCAACGAAAGUAGUUAUUCAAGGCGGAUUAAGCAAGCUACAGAACUUCCUGCACUCUGGAUGUCCUGGUUUUGGCUGGGAUGGAGGACACUGGACAAGGCUAGUUACAACCUUGCUCAUUUAGAGCACUGAAGGUAGAAGCCAACAAAGCCACCACCAACUCAACGUGGUUAUCAAGUUAUCAGCUACAGAGGAACCUGCUCCUGCAGCUGUGAAGAGUCCACACAAGGACAGUGGCACAGCCUUUCUUUGAGACACAAGACUCUGUCUUUAGCUCAAAGUAUGAAGUCUGUCUAUGGAGAGAUUUUAUUAUCUGAGUACCCAGCAGUGGUUAAUAAGAUGUCUCAAGACACCUACUUCUUGCUUUCCCACGUGUGCUGUCCAUCACCUUCUUCUUAUGUACUCUUCUUUAUUCCCUGAAGGCCAUUUCUAGUAUGGACUUGUCCCUGUGUCUCCAUUUUCUCUGUCCCAUCUUUCUGAGACUUUUCCUUCCUGAAACCAAGCUCAUUUCCUCACCCAGCUAAGUCUCAGUUUUGAACUGAACUGCAA